ACUCAAAGGAAUUGACGGGAACCCGCACAAGCGGUGGAGCAUGUGGUUCAAUUCGACGCUAAGCGAAGAACCUUACCAAGGCUUGACAUGCUAGGAGUAUGCCGGAGGAAACUUUGGCGGACCGUUAAACCGGAUCCUAGCACAGGUGCUGCAUGGCUGUCGUCAGCUCGUGUCGUGAGAUGUUGGGUUAAGUCCUCUAACGAGCGCAACCCUCAUGUUGUGUUAACACGUUCACAACAAACCGCCCCGGUUAACGGGGAGGAAGGUGGGGAUGACGUCAAGUCAGCAUGGCCCUUAUGCCUUGGGCUACACACGUGCUACAAUGGGGUGCAACAAUGGGGCGCCAAGUCGCGAGACGGAGCCAAUCCCACCAAACCACCCCUCAGUUCGGAUUGUAGGCUGCAACUUGCCUGCAUGAAGCUGGAAUCGCUAGUAAACGCGCGUCAGCCAUAGUGCGUUGAAUACGUUCUCGGGUUUUGUACACACCGCCCGU
rnacentral:rRNA from 1 species